AAGAAGAUGAGCAAUGGGCUUAGUGUCAGUAGACUUCCCUUGAGGCCUGGGUCUUUCUACUUCUUAAGAAUGAACCUGUGCAGGGCUAUUUGCACUCUUUGAAACUCAAUUUCCUUAUGUGCAAAAUGGGCAUAAGUAGUCUUUUACUCACAAGUGAUUUGCAGGCAUACAACAGAAUAAAUAUGAGAGUGCUAUGUCUAUUGUAAAAACCUUAGGAAAAAUAGUGAAUAAGUCACAGAGUGCCAGUAAAUUUAUAAUUGUCUCAAUAGCAGAAGUAUCAGGCAGUGUCAUAUCCUGGUCCUCUCAUACCUUAGUCAUCUUGUUUAACACCAUCCUCAAUUUCUCCUUUUUACACCCAGCCUAGCCACCAUUCACCACAUCAGAAGCCAUGUGGGCUCUGUUUAAUAAUAAACUCCAAAAGUGUCACUUUUUUCCAUGAUCACUGCUAACACCCUAGUCCAAGCCACUGAUAACCAGAUGACUGCAUCAGCCUUGAUAACACAUUGCCCUGCUGUCACAGACACCCCUCUAGAGUCCACAUGCCACAGGGGCCAGCGUCAUCUUAUAAAACCUAGAUCCCAACACUCAUCGCUUUAAAAUCAGCUCUGCUCUCUAUUACGCUAACAAUGAAAAUCCAGACUCCUUGUGGUAGCCCUCAAUGGACAAGGAGACCCAGCUCUUACCUACCACUGCGUUUCAGGUCCAACACUCCAGCCUUGCAGGCACACAGAGCUUCUUCCGGCUCUUCCAUCACAGCCAGUCUCUCUGAGCCCUAGAGCCCAGGCACUCUGCCUGGAGUACCCCAACCUCAACUCUCCAUGAGAUGUUCCCUUCUUAGCAUUCAGGUCUCAGCUCAAAAGGCCCCUCUUCAUCAGGACCUGCCUAUCUCCUGGAUCUAAAUAAGAGACCCACACACACUUCACUCACACCUAUAAUACCUACUGACUGCAUGGCAUUUUUGCUACCUGGAAGUCUUUCUUGUUUAUUCACCUCUUUAUUCUUGUUUAUUCACCUCUUGCUUGUCUGUUGCCCUGGCAAAAUUUAGACUCCAUGAAAGAAGGCACCUAUGUGUCCUUUUCAACACUAGCAAGCAGAACAAAUCAUAGGUUUGCAAAGAAUAUAUGUUGGAUACAUUUUUAAAAGUGAAUUUCUCUUAUACUACUGCAGCCGCAACCAUACAAUCUUCUGCCUCUGUCUGUUGGCUUUCAAAUCCCCCUGCACUGCCCCAUUCAAGGUUCUACAGUGCACCACAAAAAUCAAGAAAACGAAGACAAAUCUCUUGCUCUGGAAUCCAGUACUCCCCAGAUCCCAGCCUGCAUCUGCCUCUGAAGCCUCCUUCCUCACUCUCUCCUGCUCACAAUCUUUCCUCCAGCCACACAGCUGCAAGCUUCUUAGGCUGCUCCUUUAGCCCGAACUAGCCCCUCCGUUUACACAAUAAUUUCUGUCCUACUCAUGCCUUGCUUUGCCCAGUUGUGCUUGAUGCUUGAAACCCUCUGUAACAACCCUGAACAGUAGAACUUUCUACUGGAUGAUAUAAAGUGUUAGAAGCACUGAUUUGUUAAGAAAAUUUCCAGAGUCACACAGCUAUAACUGGCAAAGCUGUACUUCAAACUUGGAAAGUCGACUUCUAGAAUCCAGAAGUUUAAGCCCUAGACCAGCGUUUUUCAAAGUGUGGUUCCCAGACCAGCAGCGGCGGUGUCACCUGGAACUUAUCACAAAGACAAGCUUCCGAGCCAACUUCAGACCUACUCAUUGGAAGCUCAAGGUAUGCCAGCUACAAGAAGACACAGUAAAUCCAAAGUGGAAAUGGGAGCGGGAUUUCCCGGCUGACCACAGUUCAUCCAUUAGAAUGAGGUGUCUAGGAGAGGCUGCAGAGUGAUCGACAGGCGUGUUGUUAAAGGAAUCUCAGCAUCGGGCUCUGAAGGAAAGAAUUCUACAUUCAUUCAUUCAGGACAUCUUUGUUGAAUGUAUUCUAUAUGCCAGACACUGGGAUAAAGACAUGAGUAAGAUAAAAC
rnacentral:lncRNA from 1 species